rnacentral:piRNA from 1 species
UCUGCCUAACCAGGUACCUCUGUU